UGAAGCUGAAUAUACCGGUUCUCGUUAGAUCACCGAAGUCAAGCAUCAUUGGGCGCGGUCAGUACUUGGGUGGGUGACCACCUGGGAACACCGCGUGCCGUU
rnacentral:rRNA from 1 species